rnacentral:rRNA from 1 species
GGCGCGUGGCGGCGUGCCUCAUAUGCAGUCGAGCGGACAGCUGGGAGCUUGCUCCCUGAUGUUAGCGGCGGACGGGUGAGUAACACGUGGGUAACCUGCCUGUAAGACUGGGAUAACUCCGGGAAACCGGGGCUAAUACCGGAUGGUUGUUUGAACCGCAUGGUUCAAACAUAAAAGGUGGCUUCGGCUACCACUUACAGAUGGACCCGCGGCGCAUUAGCUAGUUGGUGAGGUAACGGCUCACCAAGGCAACGAUGCGUAGCCGACCUGAGAGGGUGAUCGGCCACACUGGGACUGAGACACGGCCCAGACUCCUACGGGAGGCAGCAGUAGGGAAUCUUCCGCAAUGGACGAAAGUCUGACGGAGCAACGCCGCGUGAGUGAUGAAGGUUUUCGGAUCGUAAAGCUCUGUUGUUAGGGAAGAACAAGUACCGUUCGAAUAGGGCGGUACCUUGACGGUACCUAACCAGAAAGCCACGGCUAACUACGUGCCAGCAGCCGCGGUAAUACGUAGGUGGCAAGCGUUGUCCGGAAUUAUUGGGCGUAAAGGGCUCGCAGGCGGUUUCUUAAGUCUGAUGUGAAAGCCCCCGGCUCAACCGGGGAGGGUCAUUGGAAACUGGGGAACUUGAGUGCAGAAGAGGAGAGUGGAAUUCCACGUGUAGCGGUGAAAUGCGUAGAGAUGUGGAGGAACACCAGUGGCGAAGGCGACUCUCUGGUCUGUAACUGACGCUGAGGAGCGAAAGCGUGGGGAGCGAACAGGAUUAGAUACCCUGGUAGUCCACGCCGUAAACGAUGAGUGCUAAGUGUUAGGGGUUUCCGCCCCUUUAGUGCUGCAGCUAACGCAUUAAGCACUCCGCCUGGGGGAGUACGGGUCGCAAGACUGAAACUCAAAGGAAUUGACGGGGGCCCGCACAAGCGGUGGGAGCAUGGUGGUUUAAUUCGAGCAACGCGAAGAACUUACAGGUCUUGACAUUCUUCUGACAAUCUAGAAGAUAGGACGUCCCCUUCGGGCAAGAGUGGACAGGUGGGGGCAUGUUGUCCUCAGCUCGUGUCUGA